rnacentral:rRNA from 1 species
AACGAACGCUGGCGGCAUGCCUAACACAUGCAAGUCGAAGGAGAUCUUCGGAUCUAGUGGCGCACGGGUGAGUAACACGUGGGAAUCUGCCCUUGGGUUCGGAAUAACUCUCCGAAAGGAGUGCUAAUACCGGAUGAUGUCGAAAGACCAAAGAUUUAUCGCCCAGGGAUGAGCCCGCGUAGGAUUAGCUAGUUGGUGAGGUAAAGGCUCACCAAGGCGACGAUCCUUAGCUGGUCUGAGCGGAUGAUCAGCCACACUGGGACUGAGACACGGCCCAGACUCCUACGGGGGGCAGCAGUGGGGAAUAUUGGACCAUGGGCGACAGCCUGAUCCGUCAAUGCCGCUUGAGUGAUGAAGGCCUUAGGGUUGUAAACCUCUUUUACCCGCGAUGAUAAUGACAGUAUCGGGAGAAUAAGCUCCGGCUAACUCCGUGCCAGCCGCCGCAGUAAAAC